UGAGGAAUAUUGCGCAAUGGACGAAAGUCUGACGCAGCCAUGCCGCGUGAAGGAUGACGGCGCUACGCGUUGUAAACUUCUUUUAUAUACCAAGAAACCCUCGGACGUGUCCGAGGCUGACGGUAGUAUAUGAAUAAGCACCGGCUAACUCCGUGCCAGCAGCCGCGGUAAUACGGAGGGUGCAAGCGUUAUCCGGAUUUAUUGGGUUUAAAGGGUCCGUAGGCGGAUCAUUAAGUCAGUGGUGAAAGCCGACAGCUCAACUGUCGAACUGCCAUUGAUACUGGUGAUCUUGAGUACGGUUGAAGUAGGCGGAAUAUGACAUGUAGCGGUGAAAUGCUUAGAUAUGUCAUAGAACACCGAUUGCGAAGGCAGCCUACUAAACCGUUACUGACGCUGAGGGACGAAAGUGUGGGGAGCGAACAGG
rnacentral:rRNA from 1 species